UUGAACGCUGGCGGCAUGCCUUACACAUGCAAGUCGAGCGGUAGAGGGGCAACCCUUGAGAGUGGCGAACGGGUGAGUAAUAUAUCGGAACGUGCCCAGUCGUGGGGGAUAACGCAGCGAAAGCUGCGCUAAUACCGCAUACGAUCUAUGGAUGAAAGCGGGGGAUCGCAAGACCUCGCGCGAUUGGAGCGGCCGAUAUCAGAUUAGGUAGUUGGUGGGGUAAAAGCCCACCAAGCCGACGAUCUGUAGCUG
rnacentral:rRNA from 1 species